rnacentral:RNase_MRP_RNA from 2 species
AUGCUGUCUGAAGAAUCGCUGUCGCAGCUCACGCACGGAGAGCCUCCAACUCUCUUUUUCCGCUGUGGGGAAAGUCCCCGGAGAUACAGAGCAUGGUCCCGUCCCUCCCAAUGGGAAAGCAGCCAGCUUUAAGCGCGCUGGAUUUUGGACGUCGGAUCGGCGAGAAUGCAUUGCCCCUCCGCUCACCGAUGGACUCGUACUCGCUCGGUCUGGGUGUUCACGCGAAGGGCUCCCUCUCGGCCACUCUGUUGCCUCAUCCCGAUACUCGCCGCUUGGUGAAGGCCCGAUUCCGCGAAGAUACGAGCGGGAUUUUGCUCAGGCGGUGUGGUGGACGGCGGGCAAUUCGUUACUCAUAGAUACAGUCAUGCGAUUGUGGACUUCUUUGCCGUCGUCUUCAACUCAAUGGGGCUUACUCUCAUUCAGCA